rnacentral:misc_RNA from 1 species
GAAAAUUUUGGAGCUCUGCUUCAAAUCACACUGUGUGCACCGUUGACUGUCUCUGGCAGGACCAGGGGUCGGGCUUCAGCCCGGACCCCCCUGCCGAUGGGUCGCCCUCCCUGUGGGGACGAUCCACUUUGAACAACACCAUGCCUGUUAUUUGUCUGACUUUUCUUCACCUUUGCGUGCGAGAAAUUGAAA